AAACGGUCCUUCGUUAGCAACGUUAGAACUGAGAAACCUGACUAAACUUUAUAAACACAACUCAGCGUAGACGGAGCUAGAAUGUAAAGAAGUUGUGUUCAGAUGUCAACAGCUGGCAGACACGAAGAUUAAAGAAGUUUGUUGUUGAAGGUGACGCAGCAUGGGAGAGCAUCUGAGAGCAGUUUUUAUCACCUCUGUCUAAAAAUGAGCAAUAAUGAUUUGAGGCUCGAAAUGGACCUGGCUAUUGGUUCAGCAAAGCCUUAUGGGUCAUCUCGGAGUAUCGUCAGAAGGAUUGGUUCAAACCUCCCCCUCUCACCCUGUCCUCGAGUCCACUUUCAGCUUCAAACGUUCACUAUCGGAGCUGAAACGGGGAUCCUAGGUGGUGCAAGAGGACACGGCGGGCUCGUAGCGUCUCUAGCAGACGUCGGAUGGAUCGACCGAGAGGAGAAUGACGUACCCGGCAGACACAGGUGGGAGGCGAACUCAGGGCUGGCAUUUCGCACUCAACAGCGCCCGCUUCUCAGACGCCAGAACUCUCUACCCAGUUUGCACCAGGCCCUGCCUGCACCACAGAGCCAGACAGUGGUCAGUGAGCAAGCCAUUCAGAAGAUCAGCGCUCUGGAGAAUGAGCUGGCCAAACUCCGGACCCAAAUUGCUCAGAUUGUACAGGCCCAAGAGAUGAAUGCAAAAUCAGCAGCUCAAGCUCCAAGUGGUCCUGCUCCCCCUCCUCCUCCUCCACCUCCACCACCCCCUCCUCCUCCUCCACCUCCUCCUCCACCACCACCGGGCCCCGGCCUGCACAAGAGUAUCUCUGCCAUCGACCUGAUCAGGGAGAGACGCAAGUGCAAAGUCGAGCAGCACUCGGAGCAGGAGUCGGGCCCUAAACAGCCGGAGGUUCCCAACAUGUUAGACGUGCUGAAAGACAUGAACAAAGUGAAGUUACGCUCCGUGAAGAAUCGACUCGAGGGCGAUCAGACCAAGUCGAAGGUCAGUGAGCCAGCAGAUCCCGCCGCCCUCAUCGCCGAGGCUCUGAAGCGCAAGUUCGCCCAUCGUUACCGUAACGACAGCGAGUGCGAGAGCGACUUCAGUCUCCCCUCGAGAGAAUCCAAGCCACUCUCCGAGGCACCUGCGUUCGGACAGCACAUGUUAAAAUCAACCGGAAAGAAGAAGUUCCUCUGAUUCUGGACCAGUCAGCUGCUGCAUAAAGGACCAGCGUGGCUCUGAAUGUUAAGUGUACAUUAGAAACAGGGUUUGAACCAUUUGAAGACCCCACCCACCCAUUAGUCCCCACCCAGCAGACUUUACUGGCCAAUUGUACCCGCUAGAGGGCGCCCAGCCGACCAGUAGCAGAGCAGAGAUUCAAACCAGGGAGUUCAGCAUCUUCUUCAGGCUUCAUCUACAGGAUCUUGUUUUGGAAGGUGGAAAGAAAGCAGGCUGGCACAAACAUGGACGAACAAAAUGCAAAACUUCACAGCCAAAGCUUAAAGGUAACGAUAGAACCCAGUUCCCAAGGACCCACGCUGCUGUGCCCCACCAACUCUACCAGCACUAAUUUUUUCCAUUCAAAGCAUCAUCUGGGUUUGGGAUCACCAGGAAACGCUGGGUGUGACGAGCAUACCUACAUAUACGUAUGGCCAGAAUUAUGUGGACACCUGAGCAUACGCUUGGUGGACAUUCCAUUCCAAAACCAUGGGCAUACUGUACUUCUGUUUAUGGGAAUUUGUGCCCACUUAAUCAACUAGCCCAUAAAUUAAAUCUUUUUUUUUUCCAUUUAAAGCGUCAUCCACGGCAGUAUAGUACGCCAGCCUGCUACUGAUAAGAUCCGGGGAUCCGGGGUUCAAAUCUCAGCGGUGCUAUCGGCCAGAUGGGCGUCUGCGUGGACUUGAUUGGCUAAUGUAUGUGGUUGGUUGAAACAACCUAAGCAUUGGGAGGCGAUCCCAAGCUCCAAGCUGUGGUUGUGUGGUUGCAGACCCUAAAUAUGGGAGUAGAAAAAAUUAUUUAUAUAUGUAUAUUUAAGCAAUAGAACACGAGAGGGAGUGUGUUAUCGCGAAUAACAUCACGGCUGUGAUUUGGAGCCGAGUGCGAGUGCCGUAGAUCAUUACAGCCAUGAUGUUAUUCGCGAUAACACACGAACUCGAGUGUUCUAUUGCUUUCAUACAACAGUUUUUACAAAAUAAA